GACUCGGUGGCGAAACGGCUAUCGCAUCUGUGCAAUAUGUUCGCGACAUUGGACACGAUACGUGUUGGCAGGAGGUUCCCAGUUCGAAUCUGGGCCGGGUAA